AGAGACAGCAGUAGCCGCGGGAAUACGAAGGGUGCAAGCGUUACUCGGAAUUACUGGGCGUAAAGCGUGCGUAGGUGGUGGUUUAAGUCCGUUGUGAAAGCCCUGGGCUCAACCUGGGAAUUGCAGUGGAUACUGGGUCACUAGAGUGUGGUAGAGGAUAGUGGAAUUUCCGGUGUAGCAGUGAAAUGCGUAGAGAUCGGAAGGAACAUCUGUGGCGAAGGCGACUAUCUGGGCCAACACUGACACUGAGGCACGAAAGCGUGGGGAGCAAACAGGAUUAGAUACCCCUGUAGUCCCUGUCUCUUAUAC
rnacentral:rRNA from 1 species